CUAGCUUGCUAGUUUGUCAGCUAAGUGGCGCACGGGUGAGUAAUAUAUAGUUAAUCUGCCCCAAAGAAGAGAAUAAUUGUUGGAAACGACUUGUAAUGCUCUAUAUGCCUUUAAGACAUAAGUCUGCAAGGGAAAUAUUUAUAGCUUUGGGAUGAGACUGUACGGUAUCAGCUUGUUGGUGAGGUAAUGGCUCACCAAGGCUAUGACAUCUAACUGGUUUGAGAGGAUGAUCAGUCACACUGGAACUGAGACACGGUCCAGACUCCUACGGGAGGCAGCAGUGGGGAAUAUUGCACAAUGGACGAAAGUCUGAUGCAGCAACGCCGCGUGGAGGAUGACACAUUUCGGUGCGUAAACUCCUUUUAUAUGAGAAGAUAAUGACGGUAUCAUAUGAAUAAGCACCGGCUAACUUCGUGCCAGCAGCCGCGGUAAUACGAGGGGUGCAAGCGCUACUCGGAAUCACUGGGCGUAAAGAGCAUGUAGGCGGGUUUGUAAGUUGGAAGUGAAAUCCUAUGGCUCAACCAUAGAACUGCUUCCAAAACUGCUUACCUAGAGUAUGGGAGAGGUAGAUGGAAUUUCUGGUGUAGGGGUAAAAUCCGUAGAGAUC
rnacentral:rRNA from 1 species